AUCUAAGCGGGAAACCCCCCUUGAAACGAGAACUCCCUCGCGAGCCGUGGAAGACGACCACGUGGAUAGGCUGGAUGUGCAAGCGCGGUAACGCGCUGAGCUGACCAGUACUAAUCGCUCGAUCGGCUUGAUCGCUCUCAUGAU
rnacentral:rRNA from 1 species